rnacentral:lncRNA from 1 species
AAUUAUCUGGUCAUUUUUACGUUGAGUCGAGGAACUGAUCCUUCGUACUCUAUCUGUUGAUAGUACUUUCGCGAAAGGACGCUUUAUUACUUGUGUUGUGUGUGUGUACAUGCUUUAAAAUGACGAGUUUGCAAUGCAUCAAUUGCAAAGUUCGCUUGUCGCGAAUACGAAGGCACGCUUUAUCCGAUGAGAGUGAAGAUAUCGUCAAUACUAUUCGGCUGUGGACAUAUCCUAGAGAUAUAACACCUGCUGACCAUGUUUGCCGCACGGAACAAAUAUUU